rnacentral:misc_RNA from 1 species
GGUCAGAAUCAGAAUCACUGAAUCAGGGAGCGCGACGCGACGCGGACGGAUCAAAAAAUAAUAACAAUAAACGUAAUAUUUGCAAACUUGAUAAUGGCCAUGAGCCUUUGGCCUGUGAAGAAGUUAUUGCAUUGCGGAUGACAAUCUGGCUAUCUGGCAAUCUGUCGAGACUGUGCGUGCGUGCGGUUGCAGUUAAUUCAGCUUUAUCUAAAAAUAAAUAAAAUCAGCAGCAUCAGAGCAACAGCAACAACAGUCGCGGCAUCAUCCAACACACAGCACACAUACAAAUUGGCCGAGCAACGGUUUAAGUUAAACCAAACCCCCCCUCCUUCUUCACUGACCCCCAAAAAAGGCCAAAGGUGCAAGUGCUUCUCUCACACUUAAACGCACACGGAUAGAGCGGCUUAGCAGAGACAGCAACCAAAAGCUGCUGAGAAUACCGUUUGAUUGAUUAUUGCUGCUGCUGUUCUUCUCUCCUUCUCCUCCUCCUCCUCCACCAGAGCGACUGCACCAGCACAUAUCCCGGAGGUGGCGACGGAGGACAAGGGACCUCGAGUUCCAACUCCUCGAACUCUUCGCACAAGCAACAGCAGCAGCACUCCAACAACAACCGCCAGAAGUCGCAG